rnacentral:lncRNA from 1 species
CUCAGUCUGAACCCGAGGUUCAUCCUGACCCUAGCCCUGUUACUAAUUCUAACUGGCUUUUGCCCCCAACUCCUGAACCCCCCACCUAAGCUCAUCCCCCAGAUAUGAGCCUAGCUCUGAACUUUUCCCUUCCCAGGCUUCACCUGACUCGGCGCAGUGUCUGUGUUCAUCCCCAGAACCGUAGCCUGGCUCGGUGGUUAGAACGCCAUGGGAAAAGGCUCCAGGGGACCCUACCCAGUUUAAAUCCGGUACUACAAAAGAAAAUGUGCCCGAGCCCCCAAAAGCAAAAGUA